GGAACCACUGACUCGGGGCAAGGGGCUGCAGAAGGCUUCAGAGAGAAGGACCAUUUCAUCUAGGUCUUGAGGGUGAAAAGGGGUCUCCUUAGGUGGGAAAUGGGGGAAGGGCCCCCUGAAAGGGUCAGAUACUUCAGGGAGCUGGGAGAAGAUUCCUGGCUGAGGCAGACUUGUUUGUGGUGUGAGUUCAUUGGAGAUGUGGCUGAGAAACUAUACUGGGUCUAACUCAUAGAGGCUGCCCUAAGAAUUCUGCGCUGUACUCUGGGUGCAACUGGUCUGUGCGCUCACUAACAGUGUUAAAGGCAAGUUUGUUUCUCUCCCUGAGAAGAAUUCAUUGAUUCUCUUGUUUGGUUAGUCAGUCAUUUGACAAACCUUUGGGUGCCUCUGAUGGGCCAGGCAGCGUGUAGACAACAAGGAAAGACAGGUGAAUAAGAUGCAGCCCUGGGUGGCCCAGGAGCAGCCUUCCACAGAUGAGCAGUGAUCCCUGCAGCAUGCUCCUGUCCUUGUUCUGAACAUAUGGGUCUUCUUUGGAGGCUGCCUCAUUCUCCUGGCUUGUGAUGAGCUUUCUAAUUCUUGUUCCUGACUUUAGAAGAAAGCUUGGAGAGAUGACAUUAGGUCUUUAAGUUCUGAGGACCGUGGAGGGGGUGGUGAGGAUGUUGGGGCUAGAUCCUCCUGGCCCCCACCAGAAAGUUGAUUUGCCCAUUGUGGCACCCUGAGUUGCCCAGACUGAGCAGAGUGGCUGCUGCUGACAACCCAUAGAAAGGAGGCGUGGUGUGAGUUUGCCCAGGCCAGCUUACGGAUGGCCUGAGCUCUGACAGCAUCCAGGGCCAGGAGAGCUUUGGCAGUGCAGGCCCCUCCCUCACUGCCACUGGACAUGCUGCCUUUGAAGGAGGAGGGUGAGUGGUAAAGACAAGACGAUGAGGGCAGGUGACCUUGGCAUAUUUUGUCACCCAACUUGAAUGUUCCCAAAUGAUACUUGGAGGAAGUUUUAGGAAAAGGGCCUGCUUUUUGUAUGAGAUGACACUAGCUAGGAUUUGACAGUAGUAAUGUGCUACUUGCUCAUUGUGCCAUCUAUUGCCUGACUCAUCCAACUUCAUUUUUAAUUGAAGGUGAUCGGUGGUCAGAGACUUGAUCAGCGAGUAGCUUCCAUGGCAGAAAGCUCCAUGCAGUGCUUGGGGGUUGUGAGUAUGAAAACAAAGUAUACUAAGACUAAUGUGUUGGUACACUGUAAAGUAUUCUCCUUUCCUUCCUCUGAGUAUUCCUGCCUUCUUGAUCUUUCUGACUUUCCCAAGACAAAGAGAUGUCAAAUAUAUAAUGAUGGAUAUUAAAACAAACAGACUCCUAAUGCUCAUUACUGUGAAGAUAUAGCAGUCUAGUUUGCGUUUUCCUUGUGAAGAGCCUAUACUGGGAGCCUAAAGGUUGGGAUGUGAGCCCAUUGUUUGCCUUCCAAGGGCCCAUGAGGACAGUAGCACUCCCUUUUUUGAUUUAUGUGUGUCCAUGUGGUUCAUAGGCUGGGCCAGUGCAUAUGGCCCACAGAGGGGCUGAAGGGUGUGUGGCCAGGAGGUGGUGGAAUGACGAUGUCCAGAGUUUGAGCUUUAGGGUCCGGGGACCUGGGUUUGGACAUCAACUCUUCUCUUCCUGUGACCUUGGAACUUAGUGUCUCUGUCCUCUCUUGUAAAUCAGGUGGCACAAAUGCUGCUUCCCUCACAGGGCUGUUUCCAGAGCAGAGCCUUGUAUAUCAUGUCCUCUCCUGGUGAGGCUCGAGUUCUCAAUUUUUGCUUCUACUCUGCAGGUUGGAGGUUAUUCCAGAAACACUGACUAUGAAGAUUUUUCUUGGUUCCCAGGCUUUGUAAAUUUCAGAGUUUUCUAACAGUGGUCAAGGGACUAUGAUGUGAACUUGGCAAAAGUCCCUUAUGCUCUUUGGAAGAUCUCAGUUGUGCCAUGUAGAAAAUGAGAUGAUUGGUCUAGAAUAAUGGUUCUCACACUUUUGUUGCCGUGGAAUAUCUUGGUCUGGCCAGAGGUUCCACCCCGCAAACAAAUCAGAGGCAGGCUGCUCAGCUAAAGCAAGGCCCAAUCCACCCACUCCUUCUUCCCAAUCUCUCCUUGGGCCAUUCUCCAUAGAGGCCCAUAAAGCACGCCACAGAACACAGUUUGAAAACUGGUGUUCUAGAUCUGUGGUUCUCAAACUUUAAUGAGCAUUCAGAUCCCUCAGUGAUCUUGUCAGAUGUAGCUUCUGAUUCAGAAGUUCUGGGUGCACUGGAGAUUCUGCAUUUCUGACCAGAUCCCAGGUGAUGCCUAGGUGGCUGGUCCAUGCAUAGCAUUUUGAAAAGAAAAGUCUCAUCACAGAAUGCCUUGUACAUCUCAAAUCCUUUGAUUUUGAGUACUUAGUGAUACUCUGAUUAUAUCAUAAAUUGAAAAUUUGUAUAAGAUGAAUUUUUCUAUUGGGGGCAAAAUCCUCGAUUAUGCAGAUGUAGAAACUGACCUUCUGUGAUAUGAAGGAGACAGCAAAUAUUUGUUUCUCUCCCAACUUUGAAUGUAUGAAGCAUCUGUAAAAUAUUUUGUAAGGAGCGCAAUUUGAGUUAAGAGGUUGUUGAAUUAUCCAUGCGAUCAGGGAGAGUUGCACUUUUUUUGGUUGUAGUAUGGAUCCUAAGGACGUCUAAUUAUGGGAGUUAAUGGACACUUUUCCAAGGGAGCUUAUGGCAGAAACAAGUGUGACCUGCUCUCAGACUCUGGCCAAGGCCUAUCUCCGUGCUCUAAAUCUAAGUGAAAGUUUAGAAUUGUGGACAGCUGUUAGUGUGUCUGGCAUCAAUGUACUUUCUUGAUAAUCUUAAUGACAUGGCACUAGAAAGACGCCUUCAUGUAAAUGGCUUCUGUCCUUUCUAUCCAAUGCUGAGUUGAGUGUCCCCAGUUCAACGUUGGUAGAGUGCUCUGUCUUCCACAUUCUUCACUGGCCUCUUCCUGUGUGUAUCCAGAAGAGCAGCUGCUGCUUUGACAGAUUAUAGGGCUUUGCUCAUCAGUCUUUGUUUCGUUUCACUAAUGUCAUUCCUGAAAUGGGAAGCCCACUUUAGGAACGAGAUAAAGAACCCAGUUGCUAGAGUGGCCAAUGUGUUUAAAUGUCAUUUGUCCUAUGUGGAAUGUCACAGAAGAGCAGAGUGCUCUUUGGGCUUUGCCCCAGCCCUUUGUUAAGAAGGAUGGAAACUUUCCCAUGGGGAUAGAGGUAGUGUGUGCACCAUCUGAGAAAGUAAAGGAAGACUGAAUGCCAGGUAGGCUGGAUCCCCUACUUCUGGUACAAAAUCAGCAGGGAAAAGUAGAGGGACCAUAGAUAGAAUCCUUAAGGAAAAGAAGUUUCUGGAAGAAUAUCCUGUUCAGAUGUUUCCUGAGCUCUCUCAAAGCUGAGGCCUUUGCUCACAUGACACAAGCAGAUUUCUAACCCCUCUCUGGGCCCCUGUGAUCGUGGUCUCCCCUGUAGCAUAACCGUGAUUCCUAAAACACAAUCUUGCCCAGGGGUUGUCCUGGCUCCCAAUGCUUGGCAUUCAAGUGCCUGAACCUCUUUGGCCUCAGUUUGCCCAUCUGUCAAAUGAGGAUAAUAAAAACAGUCCUCAACCCAUGGGGUUACUCUGAGCAGUGAAUGGGCUUGGGCUCAGCCAAGACCCUGUAAACUUAAUGAGGCUAUGAUCAUAACAUGAUCUUGCUCAAGGUGGCCCUCCCCUGCCUUCUCGAUCAUAGCUGCCGCCUCCACUCCCACAGCCUGGGCUCUUCUCCGGUUUCCAGCACUUGGUGCCACUGCCCUCCAUAUUGCUGCCUCAUGGUGAAUGUCCUCACUCCUCACUUCCUAUGUCUUCAUGAACCCUCGGAGGCCAGCUUCAAGGGCUGCUCCUUCCUGACAACCUUCCAGAACCCUAUCUGUAGUACUCUUUUCGUGCAAAGUUACCUUGAGUGGUUUCCAUUUCAUGUGCAUAUGUGUGUGCCCUGUUACCCGAGCUAGACUGGAAUCUCUCUGAGGACAAGGACCCUGCCCAGUUCACUUUUGUAUGGUCCCCAGAGGAGACACUCAGUAUAUGUUGACUGAUGAUGAUGAUAAACUGUUCAGUUGGAGUGAUCCAGCAUGGUAGAGCUACUCUCUACUAUGGUAAGCUACUAUACCAUACUGGAGCUGGCAGAUCAGUGAGAUAGGCCCUGCCUUGGAGUCAGUGCAUGUUAGUUGGGUAGGAAAGGCAAGUAUGUCAGACACUCUUUUGAGGCAGGACCAGAUAACUGUCCACAGAAAGACUAUCUGUGAAGUGUUACUAGGUCUCAGGAGAGGGCAGGAUGUAUCUCCUUGGGAGAUCUGGAAGGCUCCAGAGGGAGGCUGGCUCUGAGCUGUGUGCUGAAAUCUGGGCAGGGUUUUGAUGGUGGUGAUACAGGAGUCCCCUCCUGACAAGUCAGCUUUAGGCUGGGAGGACAGGAGAUCAGAGGCCAUAAGGAACAAUAGCUCAGGCAAAGGAAGUGGGGCAAAGGUGCUUCUCACAUCUUAUCUCCUUUGGUCCUUGAAUCAACCUGGUGAGAUAGGUGCUGUUAGAUCCACAAGACAGAUGAGGAAACUGAGCAUAGAGGCCGAGGGACUUGGCUAAGCUCUCUCAGAUGGCUGAGAGGAAGUUGGGAUUCAGGAUCAGCCAACCCAGAAUCCUGCCAAACAAGUUGAGAACACAGGACAUGCACUCUGAGCCUGAUGCCAAAGCUAAGAGCCUGCUGCCCUGAUUUACGCUCCUGAAGUGUGGGGCUGGCCCUGGGCCCUGCGUGUGUUCUUGGCCAAGUCCCUUUGUUAGGCAUCUCGAUUCCCAUCUGCAAAGCAAGGGGCUCAGCUUCAAGGACUGCUUCAGCUCUUUCCAGCUCCAGUGCUGUGUGAUUCUGGGACUUUGAACUGUGUUGCUUGUCCAUGAGCUAGUCCACAUCUUCCUUCAGAUUGCAGGAGGGACUGUCACACUUGGGUCAAAAGAGUAUGCAUUUAACAGAAUAUGCUUUAUCAUGGCAAACAAAGAGUCAAGUUGGUUUAUUCAGCUGUGGCUGGUGCUCAAGUGCGAGGAGAGGCUGAAUCAGAGGGGAGCUUAAUGGCCUGCUGUGCUGCACAGCUGUCCAAAGGCACCAUCCUUACGUUUUCAUCCUUAAUACUGCAGCCGAUAACUGCCAAAUCCAGCAUAUACAUUUAUCCCCAUGCUUGAGAGUCCUGCUGAUGGAUUCUCCAGAGUGACCUGGGGUACCAGAGUUGCCAUCAAGUCUGUCACUUGCUUCUGAGGAUCUGUGUAGUCCAAGGCCAUGUGACUUUAAAAACCGCAUACCUCUUUACAUUGCUGCCAAUCUCUUCCAUAUAUAUCUUUUUACUAGGAUAGAGUAGGGCUUGGACAGGGGUCAGUGGGGAGAUGAGGGGUACAACUGUUACCUAGAGUCACAGCAGAUCUACCCUUGCUUUCCUUCCUCUUUCGGACAUUUUGAUGCUUGCUCAUGUCCCCUUCUCCCUCCUUCCUUCUCCCUUCCUAGCAAAACUACUUAUUGGAGUACAUCUUAUUUGUAAAAUGACCAUUAUUCAUAUCAAAUAAAAACCAAAGAAGUACUGUCAGUUUCCCCUUAGAAUAUCAACAAGACCACUGCUUUACACUGCUUGUACAUUAGAGAGAGAAGAGUCAGUGAGUUGGCAUGUUCUAAGCGUUCCAACUAUGUGCAGAGAGGUAGUUUGGCACAGCUCCUGUGCUGUUGUCUCCAUUGUAGCAAAGCAAAGCUAACAUUCCUACAAGGCUUUUCAGUUCCUACAAAGCUUUGCAGUUCACAGCAUGCUUUCCCAUGGGUCUUUGUGUUCUGGUUCUGGAAGAAUGCCUCUCCAGUUCCUUUUCCUCAUCCUAGUAUCACAUUGCAUUCUCCAUGGGCUCCUCGGACUGCAUUAUUAUUCUCUUCACUUUAGAGAUGAGGCAGCUGAGCUCAGAGAGGGGAAGUGAUUUAUCUUAGGUUGUGCAGUAAGUGACAGAGGCAGGACUCAACCAGUUCUUCUGAUUCUGACUAUGGUGAUCUGCUCCCUGUACCCACAGAGGGCAGAGAGUGGCAUGUGGUACCUAGAAGGCCUGUUAAAGCUUGGGAAAUAUUCGAUGCUGGGCUGUAGUUUGAGAAUUCAAUCUUAACCAAUUCAGAACGUUGUCUUUCUUAACUCUCUCCUUGGUUCCUGGAUUGCUCAAUUCAAUUCUGUGCCUGCCCAGCACAGUUCCUCUCUGCCUGUGGUUCAAGAAGCCUGACUCCUCUGAACUACUUCCUCCUGUUGUCCACUCAUUGUCUACCAAACCUCACACUAGAUUUCUCACCUCAGCCAUGGAAGAAAGACAGCUUUGUAGUUGGAGUCCUUGUGUUGUGUCCCAGCUCAGGCUAUCUUUCCUUUCCUAGGUCGUUUGCUGGUCACUCAUUCAAGGGUGCUUUUGCACUCUGGUUAUCUGGAAUUCACCCUGAUUUUCUUAUCCUUGCUUCUGGUUGUGUACUCUCCUCCCUUCUGCCUUAUUAUCUGGGUCCCAAGCCUUUUCUUAGUGUUUGGUUUCUCUUCUGUAACUUUCUGGACCAGACACUGAUGCACAGUGAAGCUAGUGAAGUUUGAGAUUAAACUUCAGGGUCACGGGCUUGCACAGGGCUGGAAGGAGCCCUAGCAUUAUGGUUUAUGAUAGUUGUAUGGUUUAUAAAAUCUACAAAAGAUAUUUUAGCCACAGUUGGUUCAGGGCGCCUCUCUUUCCCUUCUGCUGUCUCCCUCACUUGAUCUCGUGUUGGGUCGCAAUGCAAUGGCCGGAGGCAUAUUGGAAAUCUAGCUAACAAGACAUUAAAUUGGGAUAUAUUUAGUUUGGACUUGGGGAGACAUUUAAGGGGCUCACAACCAAUUCUGUACCUGUUCAAGUUAUUGUUAGCUGCUCUGUAUUGAAACUGCUUCCAGGAAUACUGCUUACUGUGCUGAUGCACGCAGUGUCAGUACAGGAGGGGUGGGGCUGGAGAGUACAUUGUGAUGUCACUGUGCUUGACAACACUAGGUGCCGGAAGUAUGUUGGCAGUGGAGGAGAAUCAAGGCUCACAAUGUAUGGAGCCAGAAGCUAGUCUGUGGAAAAGUCUUCCAGCCAUGAAUCAGAUAUGUAAAAUCAACAAGUGCAAGUUCUUUCCUGUCAGGAAUAUACUCAGUGUACAGCGUAUGCAGUCAUAAACACAACAUACAUUUAUAUUAACAUUUUCACGGGAGUUCUGUCAAAAGGAAUUUUUCAGAACUCCUGUGAUUGUAAGGCACAGACAUGUAGCAGAAGUACAAAUGUUGAGUAGCGUGCAGAAGAGAGUUAAUAUGGCAGGCCUGUGACUACCGUCCUUAGAAAGGCCUGCUUGUAAGGGUGGCCCUGUGCUGGCAUCUGGGAACUUGGUUCUCAGAGUGUCCCUAGUUAACAGGAAACUGAUGAGAGUGGCUUACUGUGCUUAGAUUGUUUAUACAAACAAUGUGGUUUAUGCUGAACACCUGCUUUCCUCCUGGGAGUCUGGAAUUUUGGUGCAAGCUAGGUAGAAGGUGUCUACGUGACCAGCCCCGAAUAAAAAUCAUGGGUGCUGAGUCUGGGUCUCCCUGGGCAGCAACAUCACACAUGUGUCCCUGCGUUUUCAUUGCUGAGGGAAGAUUGUGUUCUGUGUGGCCCCUCAUGGGAGAAAAAGGGCAUAAGGAAGUCUACACAUGGAUUCCUCCUGGCUCUGCCUGUGUCUUUUCCCCUUGUGAUCCGUCUGUGUGUCCCCACUGUAAUUGCUGUAAUAAAUCUUAGCUGUGAGUACAACUAUAUGCUGAGUCCUAUGAGUCUUCAACUAUAACAGACAAGAAAAGUGGGAAGAAUAUAGAGGUGUAUCAGGCAGUUGAUUAAUAAAAAUAUAGUUGUAUUUAUUAUAUCAUUUUUCCUGAAUUUUGAGAUGUCUAACAUUUGUUGACCUUUUCAAAUGUGUACUCUAUUGUAUUUCUUUUCUCAUUUUAUACAUGUACUUUUGUUCCUAAUUUUGUAUUGGUAAUUUUGUAUUCUUAUCCUUAAAGAGAGCUCCAAGUGUUAUAAGCUUCAGGUCCCAUGAAACCUGGAUCUCCCUUUGUCAUGGAUCCAAGACUUGCUACCUCUUGUUGAUUUUGUUAUUGUUACCCCGUAUUUCACAGGUAGGGAAAUUAAAACCUAAGAGUGGAAGUCAGGCUCACUUGGCAAAACUGGGACAGGAUCCAGGUCUUCCAACUCCCAACUUAAUGCUCUUCCCUCCAUUUCAUAAAGUAUUUUGAUAAUUUGUCCGUGAGCAGUGGUCAUGGCGCAUUGGAUAUAUACUGGAUGGCACUUAGGAGACUGAAGUUCUAGUCCCUUCUUUUUCAGUAAAUGGCUAAUCUUGAAUGAGUCCUUUCCAUUCUAGGACACAUGUCCCCCUUUUGUAAAACAAGGGAGCUGGACUAGAUGCUCUUCAGAGGCCUUUCUCUCUCUGAUGUUUCUUGAGUUUAUCAUUAUAGAAAUGCUGAAUCACAUAAUCAUGGUUGAAACCAUUCAUCAUAUAGUCCUUGGGUCUUCUCCAUCUCUAAAAACAAAAAUAAAAUACCUACCUCUCUCAGUUGUUGUGAAGCCCCUGGCCCUGUUCGUGAUAGAGCAAGUGAUCAAAAGUUGCUUCCACCCACCUUUCCAAUCAGGGACAAAGGUUUUCAUGUAUAAUUCUUGCUCCUCCCCUUUGGAAUCAGAGAAUCUUUGAUCAGCAAACCUAAAUUCUAAAAAGGAAAGAAAAUGAAAUGUACAUACUCUGCUUUUAAAACUUUUUAAAUGAAGUGUAAUUUGCAAACAGAAAAAAUGCACAAAUAUUAAAUGAACAGAUUAAUAAAUCUUCACAAACCAGUAACCAGCAUAUAUUAAAAAAUAGAACAUUGCUAGAACUCCCUUGUGAUCUCCUCCAAGUCACUACUUCUGCCCAAAGGUAACCACUGUUGUGACUUGUAACAUCUUUGAUUACUUUAGUAAAUGGAAUCCUACAUUAUGUACUCUUAUUGUCUGGAUUCUUAUACGUAAUAUUGUUUGUGAGAUUCACCCAUGUUGUCAUGUGAGCAGUAUUUCCUUUAUUCUCGUUGCCAUACUGUAUUCCAUUGUAUGACUAUACUAUGAUUGAUUUAUCCUUUCCACUGUUUGUGGACAUUCGUAUGGUUUCCAGGUUUUUGCUAUUAUAAAUAAAGCUGCUGUGAAUAUCUUUGUAUUUACUUUCUUUGGUAAAUAUAUAUUUCUGUUGCAUGUAUAUCUAGAGGUAGAAUUCAUUAUUUAUAGGACAUGCAUAUGUUUAAUUUUAGGAGAUAUUGCCAAAUAGCUUUCCAUAGUAGCAAUUUACACUACCACCAGCAGUGUAUGAGUUCCCUUUACUCUCUAUCUUUGAUAGCACACUCUGUCACUUAGGUGGAUGUGCAGGGGGAUCUUGUUUUGAUUUGCUUGUUUAUUUACACAGAGCAAACUUCUGCAGUGUACAAUUUUAUGACUUUGGACUGAAGCACAAAGCCGUGUAUCCAUCACCACAAUCAAGAUACAGAAGAGUUCUAUCACACCGCAAAUUGCCUGAAAGAAACAUUUCAACAGAGAACCAAGUCAAAAUUGAGACGUUAUCUUCUCAAAGUGCUGAACUCCCAUCCCUGCCGCAGAAGGAACUCCUCUGUUCACAGAAGCUGAAGCCAGUCCGAAGUCCAGCUCCUUCCCAAGGGUAAUCCUGUUUGGAUGUUGGAUGCACACCUGCCCAAGCAUUGUGCUCUCGAAAUGAUGAAUUUUUGGAUUCAGUUAUGAGGUGCCCACAUGCUCGGACAUAAAUGGCUCACAGCAUAAUGGUGGCAGAGAGAACUAUUAUGUUGUUCUACAUUUUCUGUCUCCUUGCUCCUCAAUUGCAAACUUACAUUUUUUUUAAGUUUAAAAUUACAUUGUAGAAAAAGUGUAAAAUGCAGAAAGAUGAAAAUAAAUAAAUCAUCUG